AUUGAACGCUGGCGGCAUGCCUUACACAUGCAAGUCGAACGGUAACGCGGGGCAACCUGGCGACGAGUGGCGAACGGGUGAGUAAUGUAUCGGAACGUGCCCAGUAGUGGGGGAUAGCCCGGCGAAAGCCGGAUUAAUACCGCAUACGACCUACGGGUGAAAGCGGGGGAUCGCAAGACCUCGCGCUAUUGGAGCGGCCGAUAUCAGAUUAGGUAGUUGGUGGGGUAAAGGCCUACCAAGCCUACGAUCUGUAGCUGGUCUGAGAGGACGACCAGCCACACUGAGACUGAGACACGGCCCAGACUCCUACGGGAGGCAGCAGUGGGGAAUUUUGGACAAUGGGCGCAAGCCUGAUCCAGCCAUGCCGCGUGCGGGAAGAAGGCCUUCGGGUUGUAAACCGCUUUUGUCAGGGAAGAAACGCUCUGGGCUAAUACCCCGGGGUAAUGACGGUACCUGAAGAAUAAGCACCGGCUAACUACGUGCCAGCAGCCGCGGUAAUACGUAGGGUGCAAGCGUUAAUCGGAAUUACUGGGCGUAAAGCGUGCGCAGGCGGUCUUGCAAGACAGAUGUGAAAUCCCCGGGCUCAACCUGGGAACUGCAUUUGUGACUGCAAGGCUGGAGUGCGGCAGAGGGGGAUGGAAUUCCGCGUGUAGCAGUGAAAUGCGUAGAUAUGCGGAGGAACACCGAUGGCGAAGCAAUCCCCUGGGCCUGCACUGACGCUCAUGCACGAAAGCGUGGGGAGCAAACAGG
rnacentral:rRNA from 1 species